UUUGCUUAAAAUAAAAGGUCCAGCCUGCCCAGUGACACUGUUCAACGGCCGCGGUAUCCUAACCGUGCGAAGGUAGCGUAAUCACUUGUUCUUUAAAUGAGGACUAGUAUGAAAGGCACCACGAGAGUCAUACUGUCUCCUCUUUCCAAUCAGUUAAACUAAUCUCCCCGUGAAGAAGCGGGGAUAACUUUAUAAGACGAGAAGACCCUAUGGAGCUUUAAACGAAUAACACUUGCCCCCCCCCCUUUUUUUAAUUUCAGAAAAAUCUAUUACCUUGGCAUCAUACUUAUAAGUUUUUGAUUGGGGUGAUCACGGAACAAAAAAUAACCUCCGCAAUGAAAGACUCUCCACAACUAAGUCAAGAACCACAACUCUACACAUCAACAAAUUGACACCAAUUGACCCAAUUUAUUGAUCAAUGAAC
rnacentral:rRNA from 1 species